UACGAAGGGGGCUAGCGUUGCUCGGAAUUACUGGGCGUAAAGCGCACGUAGGCGGCUUCUUAAGUCGGAGGUGAAAUCCUGGAGCUCAACUCCAGAACUGCCCUUCGAUACUGGGAAGCUCGAGUCCGGGAGAGGUGAGUGGAACUGCGAGUGUAGAGGUGAAAUUCGUAGAUAUUCGCAAGAACACCAGUGGCGAAGGCGGCUACUGGUCCGGUUC
rnacentral:rRNA from 1 species